rnacentral:rRNA from 1 species
CCUACGGGUGGCAGCAGUGGGGAAUAUUGGACAAUGGGCGAAAGCCUGAUCCAGCCAUGCCGCGUGUGUGAAGAAGGCCUUCGGGUUGUAAAGCACUUUCAGUGGGGAAGAAAGCCUUGGGGCUAAUACCCUCGAGGAAGGACAUCACCCACAGAAGAAGCACCGGCUAACUCCGUGCCAGCAGCCACGGUAAUACGGAGGGUGCGAGCGUUAAUCGGAAUUACUGGGCGUAAAGCGCGCGUAGGCGGUCUGAUAAGCCGGUUGUGAAAGCCCCGGGCUCAACCUGGGAACGGCAUCCGGAACUGUCAGGCUAGAGUGCAGGAGAGGAAGGUAGAAUUCCCGGUGUAGCGGUGAAAUGCGUAGAGAUCGGGAGGAAUACCAGUGGCGAAGGCGGCCUUCUGGACUGACACUGACGCUGAGGUGCGAAAGCGUGGGUAGCAAACAGGAUUAGAUACCCUUGUAGUC